UGGCUGAGCGCAGACUCUCCUUGGGCAGGUCUUGCUGUGGCUCCUGUGCGGGAUGGGGUGAGGUUUCCAGGUCGUUGGAGUUAUGUUCCUAGGAGGAUUAUGGCUGCCUCUACUAUGUCAUGCAGGUUGCCAGAGAAGUGGGGGAAAGCCGGCAGUCACAGGUCUCACCUAGCUCCCAUGCAAACCGAAGGGCCUGUCUCACUCCCACCAUGCCCCACCUACCUGCGACAGCACCGAGUCUGUUUCCAGGCAGUGGGUGAGCAAAGCUGAGAACUUGCCCCACGCUACCCACCUCUCAGCUGCAAAAGCAAUUCCACUGGCAGCCCUCCCCAAGGAUUCCUGCAAGAGAAAGUCAGAAAUGGCUUCCCUGGGGACUGAGAGUGCCCACAGAGCUCUUCCUGCUGCUUCUCCUACCCCUAUAUUUUGCUCAGUUCUCUAAAUUCAUCUCAGCUUCAGAACUGACAAUGCAGAUGACCUGCAGAAGAAGCUGAUACCUUUUGCUAUAGAGCUGCACAUAUGCCUGGCCCAGGACUCAGAAAAAGCUGAAGAAAAAGAUACAGUAGAAAGUGGAAGAGCUGAAAUCCCAGCUGCUGCUCAAUGCCAAUAAAGUAGCAUGGAGGUCACUUCAAAUGUGAGCAAGAUACAACAGUGCCUCUUGCCAUACACAGAAAUGGUUGCUGUUUCAUUUCCACAUCUG